rnacentral:tRNA from 1 species
UUUAAAAUGCCUGAUUAAAAGGAUUAUUAUGAUAUAAUAAAUUAUACAUAUAUAUAUGUUUUUAAAA